rnacentral:rRNA from 1 species
AUUGCCUUAGUAACGGCGAGUGAAGCGGCAACAGCUCAAAUUUGAAAUCUGGACCUAGUCCCGAGUUGUAAUUUGCAGAGGAUGAUUUUGGCGCGGUGCCUUCCAAGUUCCCUGGGACGGGACGCCGGAGAGGGUGAGAGCCCCGUCAGGUUGGACACCAAGCCUAUGUAAAUCUCCUUCGACGAGUCGAGUAGUUUGGGAAUGCUGCUCUAAAUGGGAGGUAUAUGUCUUCUAAAGCUAAAUACCGGCCAGAGACCGAUAGCGCACAAGUAGAGUGAUCGAAAGAUGAAAAGCACUUUGGAAAGAGAGUUAAACAGCACGUGAAAUUGUUAAAAGGGAAGCGUUUACGACCAGACUUGUGCCGGUUGAUCAUCCAGCGUUCUCGCUGGUGCACUCUGCCGGCCCAGGCCAGCAUCAGUUCGCCGCGGGGGAUAAAGGCGUCGGGAAUGUGGCUCCCCCGGGAGUGUUAUAGCCCUUCGCGCAAUACCCUGAGGCGGACUGAGGUUCGCGCAUUCGCAAGGAUGCUGGCGUAAUGGUCGUCAACGACCCGUCUUGAAACACGGACCAAGGAGUCGUCUUCGUAUGCGAGUGUUCGGGUGUAAAACCCCUACGCGUAAUGAAAGUGAACGCAGGUGAGAGCUUCGGCGCAUCAUCGACCGAUCCUGAUGUUCUCGGAUGGAUUUGAGUAAGAGCAUACGGGGCCGGACCCGAAAGAAGGUGAACUAUGCCUGUAUAGGGUGAAGCCAGAGGAAACUCUGGUGGAGGCUCGCAGCGGUUCUGACGUGCAAAUCGAUCGUCAAAUAUGGGC